rnacentral:rRNA from 1 species
GACGAACGCUGGCGGCGUGCUUAACACAUGCAAGUCGAGCGGAGAGGCCUCUUCGGGGGUACUCGAGCGGCGAACGGGCGAGUAACACGUGAGUAAUCUGCCCUUCACUCUGGGAUAGCCACCGGAAACGGUGAUUAAUACCGGAUACGACACGUCCAGGCAUCUGGUGCGUGUGGAAACUUUUUGGGUGGGGGAUGUGCUCGCGGCCUAUCAGCUUGUUGGUGGGGUAAUGGCCUACCAAGGCUUCGACGGGUAGCCGGCCUGAGAGGGUGACCGGCCACACUGGGACUGAGACACGGCCCAGACUCCUACGGGAGGCAGCAGUGGGGAAUAUUGGACAAUGGGCGGAAGCCUGAUCCAGCAACGCCGCGUGAGGGAUGACGGCCUUCGGGUUGUAACCUCUUUCAGCACCGACGAAGCGAUCCUUUGGGGAGUGACGGUAGGUGCAGAAGAAGGACCGGCCAACUACGUGCCAGCAGCCGCAGUAAUAC